ensembl:lncRNA
CCUAGAGGAGCUACCCGGCACCCGAGGUCAGGAGCGGAGGCCGAGAAGAGCUACCCCAUGUCCGAGAUUCCCUGGAACACAGAGUGCCUCACUCCACCCUGAACUCCCUCCAGGGUUGUUGAAGAUCAACAUCUAUAGCAGGAUGGGGUUCAAUCUCCAUAGAGGCAGAUGGCAAAUUCCUUUAUUGUUCACUCCUUGGCAAUGCCCUUGAGUGCCUGAACUAUGGAGAUUUCUGACAUUGUACAGGAGGCAGCGAUUAAGACCAUCUCCAAGAAAAAUAAGAAAGCCUUCCUCAGUGAUCAGUACAAAAAAACAGAGGAAAACAAUAGAAUGGGAAAGACUAGAGAUCUCUUCAAGAAAAUUAGAGAUACCAAGGGAACAUUUCAUGCAAAGGUGGGCUCAAUAAAGGACAGAAAUGGUAUGGACCUAACAGAAGCAGAAUAUAUUAAUAAGAGAUGGCAAGAAUACACAGAAGAACUAUACAAAAAAAGAUCAUGAUCCAGAUAACCACGAUGGGGUGAUCACUCACCUAGAGCCAGACAUCCUGGAAUGCAAAGUCAAGUGGGCCUUAGGAAGCGUCACUAUGAACAAUGCUAGUGGAGGUGAAGGAAUUCCA